rnacentral:rRNA from 1 species
CCUACGGGAGGCUGCAGUGGGGAAUAUUGCACAAUGGGCGCAAGCCUGAUGCAGCCAUGCCGCGUGUGUGAAGAAGGCCUUCGGGUUGUAAAGCACUUUCAGCGGGGAGGAAGGCGGUGAGGUUAAUAACCUCAUCGAUUGACGUUACCCGCAGAAGAAGCACCGGCUAACUCCGUGCCAGCAGCCGCGGUAAUACGGAGGGUGCAAGCGUUAAUCGGAAUUACUGGGCGUAAAGCGCACGCAGGCGGUCUGUCAAGUCGGAUGUGAAAUCCCCGGGCUCAACCGGGGAACUGCAUUCGAAACUGGCAGGCUAGAGUCUUGUAGAGGGGGGUAGAAUUCCAGGUGUAGCGGUGAAAUGCGUAGAGAGCUGGAGGAAUACCGGUGGCGAAGGCGGCCCCCUGGACAAAGACUGACGCUCAGGUGCGAAAGCGUGGGGAGCAAACAGGAUUAGAUACCCGUGUAGUC